CCUUAGGUCAUCCGCCCAACUGCAGUCUACUGUAAGGAGUUUUCCUUCCUACAACAAAAAUAUCAACAGGAUUCCUCUUCCUCUGCUAAGUGUUCCGCAGCCUAUGGUUCCAACCAGACGGGCGUCUUUGGGCACUAUAGGAAUUAUUAAUAACUCUUUUGCAAAUGUGGGUUUCUUGACUUUCAAGUGGACCACAAGUUAAAGGAGGACUUUUCGAAGCACUCUUUCUUCCCUCUCAGCUGGUGAUCUGAAGAGUAGGCUGUGUUCUUUCUCUCUGCCACAAUGCCAUGACCUACAAUAAUGAUGUUUCAACAAGCAAGACUUAAUCAACAGAUUUUUCAAAGGUAAAAUUUUCAUUUGGACCUGAUUUUAAUAGAGCAGUGCCUUCUUAGUUGGAAACUAAAGUUGGUUUUUAGGCCAGAUCCUCUGCUGAUGGAACUUGUUAUCUCUCUAAUCAAGCAUGUAGAGGAUUAGGUACAGACUUCCAUGUGAUUUCCAGAAGUGGAACCAGAGUCUAUUAAGUCUCCAAGCAUUUCAGCCUGCCAGAGCUGGUGCACCUUUGCCUUUGUCCGUAGUUGCUAUAAAGCAUGUAUAUAAUACAUUACAAAGGCCAGAAGCUGCCCAAAGAAAUGCUGCUGCAGAAGUCUUAGCUUAUGCAUCUAUCAGUGGCCUAGCAUUAAUUCCAACCGUGAGUGGAAACUGUGUUAGCUUCAUAUAUCUUACUAUCACAGAGCUGGCAGGAGCUGUUCUCCCAAGGCAGCUGCACAAGUGCUCCCGUGGCAAGCACCUACCCCAUCUCCCACUGACAUUAAAUGUUGAAGGGAGCUAUCAGAAGAGGUCACCUUUGCCUCCCAUGUUCACUAGGUGAAGGGCAUUAUUCACAGGAGAGCCUUGGCAGCACCAGCUUGAGGGCCUCUAACAAGGAGGUUUGGCCCUUUAAGAAACAGGAGUCAGCCCUGUUGAG